rnacentral:rRNA from 1 species
UUUUAUAUUUAAAUAGAUUUAAAUUGUAAAUUUAUUAGGUAGUUUAUAUUGAUUUGAUUAUUUUGUUGGGGUGAUAGGAAAAUUGAAAUAACUUUUUUUAAAAUUAUACCAUAAAUAAGUGAAUUUUUGAUCCAAUAUUAUUGAUU